rnacentral:rRNA from 1 species
GACGAACGCUGGCGGCGUGCCUAAUACAUGCAAGUCGAGCGAGUCUGCCUUGAAGAUCGGAGUGCUUGCACUCUGUGAAACAAGAUACAGGCUAGCGGCGGACGGGUGAGUAACACGUGGGUAACCUGCCCAAGAGAUCGUGAUAACACCUGGAAACAGAUGCUAAUACCGGAUAACAACAGAUGAUGCCUAUCAACUGUUUAAAAGAUGGUUCUGCUAUCACUCUUGGAUGGACCUGCGGUGCAUUAGCUAGUUGGUAGGGUAACGGCCUACCAAGGCGAUGAUGCAUAGCCGAGUUGAGAGACUGAUCGGCCACAUUGGGACUGAGACACGGCCCAAACUCCUACGGGAGGCAGCAGUAGGGAAUCUUCCACAAUGGACGCAAGUCUGAUGGAGCAACGCCGCGUGAGUGAAGAAGGGUUUCGGCUCGUAAAGCUCUGUUGUUGGUGAAGAAGGACAGGGGUAGUAACUGACCUUUGUUUGACGGUAAUCAAUUAGAAAGUCACGGCUAACUACGUG